CGCCUCUCCUUGAUGAUAUGCCACAACUAAACCCCGACCCGUGAUUAUUAAUCCUCUCAUCUACAUGACUA
rnacentral:tRNA from 1 species